UCUGUCUGGUGCGUCUUUUAUA
rnacentral:siRNA from 1 species